ensembl:miRNA
AGAAGACAUGAGAAGGGGGUGAGAGACUCCCUCCUGAACUCUCAGCCUUUAUCUCCCCAG